rnacentral:rRNA from 1 species
CAAUCUGCCCCUGACUCUGGGAUAAGCGCUGGAAACGGCGUCUAAUACCGGAUACGAGCUGCGAAGGCAUCUUCAGCAGCUGGAAAGAAUUUCGGUCAGGGAUGAGCUCGCGGCCUAUCAGCUUGUUGGUGAGGUAACGGCUCACCAAGGCGUCGACGGGUAGCCGGCCUGAGAGGGUGACCGGCCACACUGGGACUGAGACACGGCCCAGACUCCUACGGGAGGCAGCAGUGGGGAAUAUUGCACAAUGGGCGAAAGCCUGAUGCAGCAACGCCGCGUGAGGGACGACGGCCUUCGGGUUGUAAACCUCUUUUAGCAGGAAAGAAGCGAAAGUGACGGUACCUGCAGAAAAAGCGCCGGCUAACUACGUGCCAGCAGCCGCGGUAAUACGUAGGGCGCAAGCGUUAUCCGGAAUUAUUGGGCGUAAAGAGCUCGUAGGCGGUCUGUCGCGUCUGCUGUGAAAACCCGAGGCUCAACCUCGGGCCUGCAGUGGGUACGGGCAGACUAGAGUGCGGUAGGGGAGAUUGGAAUUCCUGGUGUAGCGGUGGAAUGCGCAGAUAUCAGGAGGAACACCGAUGGCGAAGGCAGAUCUCUGGGCCGUAACUGACGCUGAGGAGCGAAAGGGUGGGGAGCAAACAGGCUUAGAUACCCUGGUAGUCCACCCCGUAAACGUUGGGAACUAGUUGUGGGGUCCAUUCCACGGAUUCCGUGACGCAGCUAACGCAUUAAGUUCCCCGCCUGGGGAGUACGGCCGCAAGGCUAAAACUCAAAGGAAUUGACGGGGACCCGCACAAGCGGCGGAGCAUGCGGAUUAAUUCGAUGCAACGCGAAGAACCUUACCAAGGCUUGACAUAUACGAGAACGCUGCAGAAAUGUAGAACUCUUUGGACACUCGUAAACAGGUGGUGCAUGGUUGUCGUCAGCUCGUGUCGUGAGAUGUUGGGUUAAGUCCCGCAACGAGCGCAACCCUCGUUCUAUGUUGCCAGCACGUAAUGGUGGGAACUCAUGGGAUACUGCCGGGGUCAACUCGGAGGAAGGUGGGGAUGACGUCAAAUCAUCAUGCCCCUUAUGUCUUGGGCUUCACGCAUGCUACAAUGGCCGGUACAAAGGGCUGCAAUACCGCGAGGUGGAGCGAAUCCCAAAAAGCCGGUCCCAGUUCGGAUUGAGGUCUGCAACUCGACCUCAUGAAGUCGGAGUCGCUAGUAAUCGCAGAUCA